UGCGGUCUGUUGGGCAGGAGGGCGGGGGUUUCUGCCGCGGCCAGUGACCCGUGUGCAAAACAGGGCGCCCCUCGCGCCGGCCUUGCCCCUGCUGCCCCGCACGGGCUCCCCCAGGGGCGAGCGGGGGCGAGGAAAGCCUUCUUGCCGGCAUGAAGAUGGCUUUGCCUUGGUUGAGAGCCCUCCCUCCGCCGUUCUUAUUUCUCCUGCUGUUCCUGUGGAUUCCAGGCCCAGGGACCCCCCAGAAAGAGCCCUGUCAGACCUGCCAGGAUCUUACCAGCAACUUCAACAAGGGUCUGGAGCGGACACAGCGAGAGAACUUCGGGGGCGGGAACACAGCCUGGGAAGAAGAGAAGCUUGCAAAAUAUGCCAACAGCGAGACCCGCCUGCUGGAGGUGCUGGAAGGCGUGUGCGCCACGUCAGACUUCGCCUGCCACCAGCUGCUGGAGAAGAGCGAGGAGCACGUCGAGCGUUGGUGGUUCCAUGAGCAGCAGCAGCACCCUGACUUUUCCCAGUGGCUCUGCAUGGACACGUUGAAGCUCUGCUGUUCCCCUGGCACCUAUGGGCCCGAUUGCCACACCUGCCCCGGGGGUACCCAGAAGCCCUGCAGUGGGUAUGGGCAGUGUGACGGUGAUGGCACACGUGGAGGCACUGGCCUGUGCAUGUGCCAGACGGGCUACGGGGGCCCCUACUGUUCUGAGUGUGGAGAUGGCUACUACCAAGCAGCUCGCAACGACAGCCACCUGGUAUGUGCGGAGUGCUACCGGGCCUGUGGACGCUGCUCUGGACCUGAAGACUCAAGCUGUCUCCGCUGCAAGAGAGGUUGGAUGAUGCAUGACCGCAGGUGCAUUGACAUUGACGAAUGUGGCACAGACAUGGCGCACUGUCGUGCCAACCAGUUUUGUAUCAACACGGAAGGAUCCUAUGAAUGCCGAGGUAAGGGUGCAAAGUCUCCAACAACAACGUAGUAUUAUCUUUUUUAAAAAAAAUUAUUUUACCAACUUAAUUUACGGGGGGAGAAAGAUUAAAAGAAUAAAAAUAAGUAAACACAGACAGACAUAGCUAAAGAAAAACAAUUGUAGUCACAUCACAGAUAAGUAGAAGAGAAAAAAACAAAAUAAGUAAAAAGUGAAUGAACUGCAAAAAGAGAAAGAAAGAAUGGAGGGAGCGGGAAAGGCUUCUUAUGGAAGCUCAUAGCUCAUCCAGACUUGAUUUUCCCAGGUUUCUCAGGUGAUCCUAGAUUUUCUCAGAAUUAGUGGGUCUGUAUCUAACCCUGUGUAGUCCACCUGUCAAAUUUUAGGUCCCCAGUAUCUGAGGAGGUGAGAGUUGAGAAAAAAAACUCGCUCUACAGUCAGCACAAUUGCUCCUUUCAGCAGGAGUGAUCAGGAGCACUCAAAGGUUCGCCUGGGAUGAAGUGCCAUUUUCCCCAGAAGUCCAACAAUGUAGUAUUAUCGUUUCUGUGGCGUAUUACUAAAAUUCAGCUUUGAAACUGA